rnacentral:sRNA from 1 species
AUGGAGGUUUUGGAGAGUGUAUUUGAGAGGUUGGCAUCUGCUAAUUUGUCAGCAAGACCCUCAAAGUGUUAUAUAGCGUAUAGCAGUCUUGAAGUUUUAGGUCACAUUGUCGGAACAGAUCGCCUUUCACCAAAUCCAGAUAAGAUUGAGGUAAUCAAAAAUGCUCAUAGGCCUACAACCAAGAAACAAGUCAGAAGCUUCAUUGGCAUGGCUGAAUUUUACAGAAAGUUUGUUCCCAAUUUCUCAGAUAUAGCUAGUCCGCUUACUGAUCUGACGAAAAAGGGACAACCAAAUCAGGUACGUUGGGAAGCUAUUCAUGAAAGAGCAUUUUCAAGUUUGAAGAAUGCAUUAGUAAAAGCUCCUGUUUUAAAGUUGCCGAACUUUUCUCAGGUAUUUAUCCUUCAAACUGAUGCUUCUGAUAAUGGAAUAGGCGCUAUACUGCUACAGGAUGAAGAUAAUAUUAGAUUGCCUGUAUCGUACGCUAGUAAAAAACUGAAAGCUAGUGAACGAAAUUACUCCACUAUCGAGAAAGAAUGCCUAGCCAUUGUAUGGGCAAUCAGCAAAUUUCAAAGGUAUUUAUAUGGUAAACAGUUUAUAUUAGAGACCGACCAUCAACCUUUGAUAUAUUUGCAAAAGUCUAAAAUUGCAAAUGCACGAUUGAUGAGAUGGUCACUCUUGUUACAGCCGUAUAGGUUCAGGAUUGUUGCCAUCAAAGGAAAGGACAACGUUGGAGCAGAUUUUUUGAGUCGUAUAUAG